UACGGGGGGAGCAAGCGUUGUUCGGAUUUACUGGGCGUAAAGGGCGCGUAGGCGGUCGUGACAAGUCACUUGUGAAAUCUCCGGGCUUAACUCGGAACGGUCAAGUGAUACUGUCGGACUAGAGUACAGAAGGGGCAACUGGAAUUCUCGGUGUAGCGGUGAAAUUCGUAGAUAUUCGGAAGAACACCAGUGGCGAAGGCGGCUCACUGGCCCGGUACUGACGCUGAGAUACGAAAAGCGUGGGGAGCAAACAGG
rnacentral:rRNA from 1 species